CUAAAAUCUUCUGGGCUAUUGGAUAUAACAAUACAUUGGAUGUUAAAUCUAUGCUCUGGAUCUCGUCUUUGAAAGAAACAAAUUAUUUUUAAAAUAAAUAAAUAUAAGAACAAAAAUAGUUGAAUUGGAUUUAAAAGGGUACGCCAAGGCUAUAAAUUCUUUGAAUUAUUGAAACUAAAUCUUAAGCUCUAAUUUACAAUUAAAGUUACUUUUCAACAUGUACAUAAGUUGCAACAUGUACAUAAGUGUAGUUAUCGUAGGAUUGCACUUUGUAAUUAUAUAAUUUAAGAACAACAAGUACUAAAUUUAAAGAGGAAA